rnacentral:lncRNA from 1 species
UUUUGAUUAAAUUAGCAUAUGGAAUUACUCAAACUCUAUGCUGUUCUCGUGUUUUCAGGUUCAGUGGGACGAACCUGCAUCCAUUCCAAGACCUGAAAGGGUUUCUCCAUGGGAGAUAGAACCAUUUGUGGCUUCAGUUCCCACAAGCCUGGUUCAACCAUCGGCAGCAAAAAAUAAAAGGCCAAGAUUGCAUGUUGAAACCCCAGUUCCUGGUUCAACAUUCUUGCAUACCCUUUUUUCCCAAACUUUCUAGCAUUUUUAUGUAUUAGGACUUCAUUUAAUUUUGUUGCUAUUUCCUAUGUGGUAGAUACUCCAAGUUCAACAGCAUCAGCUGUGUGGAAUCCGUCCCGCGAAUCACAUCAAGUAAUGGGCUCUCUUGAAGAACAAAGGAGUGAACAAGUUGACACUGGUGGCACUCUCAUCAGAAACAGAAACGGCAACACUUCUGGAACUCUUUUAGAGGGAGACUGGCUAUCUCCUGAUGUGAAUUCGUCUCUUAAUAUGUUUUCUGAAGAAACAGAAGAGAGCAAAAGUGCAUCGGCUUGGUCUAUUUUUUCAAACUGUUCAGCCCCAAAUUCUGGAAAACGGAGUAAUAGUCGCAUUUCUUGCCUGAAUGAUGGGAGGAAAUUAGAUGCGUCUGCAACUUGCAGAUUAUUUGGUAUUGAUUUGAACAGCCCUUUGACGGGUGCUGCCCUUCUCGAGAAAUCCUCUCUAAAAUCAGUUGAUAAACUAAAUGAUGCUUCUGAAGGAUGCGUCUCAAAUCAACGGCAGCAGUUACAAGUACCAGUAAAGGAGGUUCCUAGCAGACAGAAUCACUCCACUAGAAGUCGCACCAAGGUAUAAUUUCACCUUCUACUUUUAACAACAAAGUAUUAUUGAUUGAGCGUUUACUGAAUUGAAAGAGUAAUUAAUAAUAACUAUUUGUUUCUUUGGUGUGAAAUACUUUGAGAAGGUUCAAAUGCAAGGUGUUGCUGUGGGUCGUGCUGUGGACCUAACUGCGUUAAAGGGAUACGAUGAGCUUAUAAGUGAAAUUGAAGAGAUGUUCGAAAUAAAGGGUGAGCUUCAGCUCCGACAUAAUUGGGAGAUUGUUUUCACUGAUGACGAAGGAGACAUGAUGCUUAUGCGCGAUUAUCCAUGGCUGUACGUAUUAUUUGUAUUUUUCAUCUAGACAUAUCAUCUACUUCAACGGUUAUAUGAUACUAUUAUUUUCUUGCAGAGAAUUCUGUGAUAAGGUGCAGAGGAUUUUCAUCUAUUCUAGCCAAGAUGUGAAAAAAAUGAGAGCAGGAAGCAAGCUUCCUCUAUCUUCGACAGACAACUGAAGGAGAUGCUUUAACUUGGAAGUUGGUGAAGAUUAAAAUUAAAUUAAUUUCACAUUUUCUUGUUCAUCCCUGCUUUUUCCUUUUAAUUUGUUUUUCAAUGGAAAAAGCUUCAGUUUUUCGCUGUUGUAGAGGUCUUGAGGAAUUUCUUGUUUGUUUCUCUGAUUCUGUGUCAUCAAGAUGGAUGGCUAUAGAUAUGGAUGUAGCAUCAGGCUAACAACCAAGAAAACUAGCUGUUUGCGACUAGAAAUUUUACGAGUAAUCGGGGGUGGGAUUAGGAUUAGAAUCUGUGUAUAUCAGAGGUGUUUCCGGUGGAUUUGGAUGUAAAUAUAAAUUUCUUGGCAUCUGGUUUAUAAAUUGCCAGGUUCUUUUGGAAAUGUGUACUUCAAUAAUCCAGGGCAUUUCAUUUUCUUCCUUGCAUGCAUAGUUAAAUUGAAUUCAAGGUUCUGGUUCAAUGGAUAUGUGG